UACGGAGGGGGCGAGCGUUGUCCGAAGUUACUGGGCGUAAAGCGCGCGUAGGCGGGUUGGUAAGUCCGCUGUGAAAGCCCGGAGCUUAACUCCGGAGGGUCGGUGGAUACUGCCAGUCUUGAAGGUGCUAGGGGGAGAUGGAAUUACCGGUGUAGCGGUGAAAUGCGUAGAUAUCGGUAGGAACACCAGUGGCGAAGGCGGUCUCCUGGGGCAUUCUUGACGCUGAGGCGCGAAAGCUAGGGGAGCAAACGGG
rnacentral:rRNA from 1 species